AACGAACGCUGGCGGCAUGCCUAACACAUGCAAGUCGAACGAGACCUUCGGGGCUAGUGGCGCACGGGUGCGUAACGCGUGGGAACCUGCCCUUAGGUUCGGAAUAACUCCCCGAAAGGGGUGCUAAUACCGGAUAAUGUCUUCGGACCAAAGAUUUAUCACCUUUGGAUGGGCCCGCGUUGGAUUAGCUAGUUGGUAGGGUAAAAGCCUACCAAGGCGACGAUCCAUAGCUGGUCUGAGAGGAUGAUCAGCCACACUGGGACUGAGACACGGCCCAGACUCCUACGGGAGGCAGCAGUGGGGAAUAUUGGACAAUGGGCGAAAGCCUGAUCCAGCAAUGCCGCGUGAGUGAUGAAGGCCUUAGGGUUGUAAAGCUCUUUUACCCGGGAUGAUAAUGACAGUACCGGGAGAAUAAGCUCCGGCUAACUCCGUG
rnacentral:rRNA from 1 species